rnacentral:tRNA from 1 species
GGUGGCUUAGUGGUAGAGUGCAUGGCUAACAUGCAUGAAGCCCUGAGUUCAAUUCCUCAGUACCA